CGAUGGGUAGCCGGCCUGAGAGGGUGUACGGCCACACUGGGACUGGGACACGGCCCAGACUCCUACGGGAGGCAGCAGUAGGGAAUUUUCGGCAAUGGGCGGAAGCCUGACCGAGCAACGCCGCGUGAGGGAAGAAGGUCUUCGGAUCGUAAACCUUUGUCAUCGGGGACGAUCAUGACGGUACCCGAGGAGGAAGCCCCGGCUAACUACGUGCCAGCAGCCGCGGUAAUACGUAGGGGGCGAGCGUUGUCCGGAAUUACUGGGCGUAAAGGGCGCGUAGGCGGUCUAAUAAGUCAGAUGUGAAAUUCUUGGGCUUAACUCAGGAUGUGCAUUUGAAACUGUUGGACUUGAGGGCAGGAGAGGAAAGCGGAAUUCCCAGUGUAGCGGUGAAAUGCGUAGAUAUUGGGAGGAACACCAGUGGCGAAGGCGGCUUUCUGGACUGAACCUGACGCUGAGGCGCGAAAGCCAGGGGAGCGAACGGGAUUAGAUACCCCGGUAGUCCUGGCCGUAAACGAUGGAUACUAGGUGUGGGAGGUAUCGACCCCUACCGUGCCGGAGCAAACGCAAUAAGUAUCCCACCUGGGGAGUACGGCCGCAAGGCUGAAACUCAAAGGAAUUGACGGGGGCCCG
rnacentral:rRNA from 1 species